UGCUGCUUCCUGCAUUCUUCUCGAUGAAACCUUCAGCUACCCACUUCCAUAUCAAUCUAUGCUUCUCGAUCUCAUAAUCUUCUGGAUACACACUUAGGUACAAUAAGCAAGUUUUUAGAUACGAAGGUAGGUCAUAAUAGCUCAGAGACAGUAUCCACACGGUGUCGUCUACUUGUUCGUUGGUAUCUUUACCGCGAUAGAAACCAGAAAUCUUCGUAGUUCGCCAGCCAACAGCUGUAGGUCCUUCACUUCACGAAUGGCAUUGUAUUUUUGUUCGUCGAGAUGGAAGAAGAUGCUGGUAAAGACUUGCACCAGGUCAGGUUUUCGGCCAACCGAAACAAAUGCUCCAUGAUCAUAUCGCGGUUUGAGCUCAUCGUAGACGGCCUUGGCUAGAGUGGUCUUUCCAAGGCCACCAGCUCCGACCACAGAAACUAUCUUCAUCUUGUCACCGUCGCUGGCAGAGACAUCGACGUCGUCCUCAGGGCAGCGGGAUGACGACAGCGGCAGAAGCAUGGCCAUGAGCUCAGCCUUGGUCUUGUCGAUGCCGACGAGCUGUGCCGCUUCCCUGUGCAUGUACACGAGGCGAGGAUCCAGCGUCCUCACCGGCGCUGGCGCUGCCACCGGAACGGCGUACCUGUCGCGGCGGAGACGACGACCUUUGCCCAGGCCAUCAGCCGGGGCGCCGUCGACGAGGAAGGUGUCGAGGAUGUCCUCCAUGUCGUACGACGCUUCCCUGACCUCACGAGCCCAGAGCCGAACCUGUGGAUCAAGCUGCUCCGGCGGCACCUCCGACACGGUGCGGAGAGCCGCGUGCGCGCUCUCGAGCUCAUUUUUCAGAGAUUCGAUUUGCUCUAGCAGGCCCGCCUGUAGCUUGUACUCUGCCUGGAGCAGCUCGCCGAGCUUGCGGAUGAUGCUGCCCACGGCGCCGGCCACAAGAUCCAUGGCGACGAAGCCGCGGAGCUAGCCCUACAGUAGCAGCCUUGAUCUCGAGAUGAAUUAUUAGCUAGCUGCUGGAGUGCUGGGCGGAGGACGGCGUCAGCGAACCGGGAUGUGGCAAGGGACGGGGGGAGGGCGGCGGCCGUGGAAGCUGGGCGACCUGCUCGAGAGCCGACACUGGGAGUGUGUUAUAUUACCACUGAGUGCUGCCGUAGUAUUUCCUCCGUUUCGUUUUACGUAGCGGACGAAUCGAUGCCAUCCACCGCUCUCUCUUUCCAGCCGUCCAUAAAGCCAGGAAAGCGCCAAACGCACUCGGGCGUGAGGACGGAUGCUUUGAAGUUUUAAGACUGUUUCUAGUAGCGUCUUCUAAUAAAAAAAAAUAUUCCUCGUUGGCAUCAAAAAAUUCGUCUCCUAUAUCCUUCUUGUCUUCAAGAAUAUCCUCUAAAAUUCAUUCUAUAUAUCUCAUCCUCUCUAAUAUACCAACUUAAUUAACAAAAUAUAUUAUUUUACUAAACAACAACUACUAACUAAACAGAGGUUUAGCUUCGAUAUGUCAGCAUCAACUACCCGGCACCAUAAACGCUAAACUGUAAAUAGUUGGGUCAUCUUUUGUUUAGCGUGUAAUCGAGACGUUUAAAUGGAUUGGAUUAUACCGGAUUAAACAACGUUAACCGUCUAAACGGUUAGUUACUGAGUAGCAUUUAAACGGUGUUCAAAAUGUCUAAACAACCGUUUAGGAUACCAGUCAUGAAUUAGCAAUUAGUAAAAAAAAUAUAUAACACAAACCAUGAACCAUCGUUUUCAAUUGACAGCGAUAGCAGGUUCUAGACACUGGCUCAGGGCUUCGUCAAACACUAAUCGCGCGUCGUGCUCAAAGGCUCCAGCAGGUGGCCCAGAUGUAACACCCAAAGUUCUUAAUUUGAAGAUUAAAUAAAAAGAUCACCAAUAAUUUAUUUAAAUUGGAGUGCUUUCUAUGUGGAUUACACAUUUAUAUUAUUUUUCUAAACUAAAUAUUUGGGUAAAUAUAAAAUUAUGUUUGUGCACCGCAUGUUUUGGAGCAUUGUUUUUUAUUGUUGGAAUUCAAAUUUGAAUUUAAAUUAUUUGGCUGGAAUUUGGAUUUGAAUCUGAAAAUGAAAAUGAAAAGGAAGAGGGGCUGCUCGAGAAGAAGUUGGCCGCUGCUUCACCCGCACGCGCCGCUGCGGCAGGAUUGCUAGCGCGGAUGCGACAGAGCCAUGCCGAGCGCGCCGGGCAGCGAGACUUCGGCGGGCGGGCGUUGGUUGGAGAUGUGCUGCAGGCGCUGCUCGAGGAAGAAGACGGCGGCGGUCGACCGUGAUCUGGUACGAGCAGGAGAUCCCUUCGAGCAAGCAGCGGCGUUUUCUUCGAUUUGGGGGAAAAAAAAGAAACUAGUCCCACAUGUCAGGACCUGGGUCCCCUCUGUCAGAUAUCUAACGGACGGAAUGGGUCCAUAUGGCUGAUUUCUGAGCACAACACAACGGUGGAAGGGAAAAUCUAAGGAGAGAAUUGAGGUAGGGGUAGAACUAAGCAAAAUGUACAGACUAGUGGGAGAGGAGUGUAAAAAACCCUUGAGAAAUAUGGCACUGUUCUUCUCGGGUGGUGACAUGAAGGACCUGAAGCUUCGGGUGACUGGGGGAUCUAGAAAGAGCAGACGAACCCGGAUGGAGCCUGCAUUCCUAACCUGUGCAGCUGAGCAAGGGAGACGAUUGAAAGAAGAAAGAAAGAAAAUAUUGUGCUAUGUGGCUUGCUUUUUUUCAAA